rnacentral:rRNA from 1 species
UACGGGGGGAGCAAGCGUUGUUCGGAUUUACUGGGCGUAAAGGGCGCGUAGGCGGCCAGCGCAAGUCAGUUGUGAAAUCUCCGGGCUUAACUCGGAACGGUCAACUGAUACUGCGCGGCUAGAGUGCAGAAGGGGCAACUGGAAUUCUUGGUGUAGCGGUGAAAUGCGUAGAUAUCAAGAGGAACACCUGCGGCGAAGGCGGGUUGCUGGGCUGACACUGACGCUGAGGCGCGAAAGCUAGGGGAGCGAACGGG